AGAAGUCCAUAAUAAUAGAGGAGAAGACGGAUCUAUGCACGGCGAUCAAGAACCAGGCAAUGACUCAGUCGACAUCAGUUGUGCAGGUGUGGGUCCAGGUGCCAAUUAUCCUAGAAAAGGGGGCAAUGUAGGAAACGAACAGGGAAUUCUAGAAUAUGCGGUGGUCGACAAAACUAAAAAGAAAAAGAAGGACCACACAAAUGAUGAGCCUCAAGCACAAUACGACUUUGGCAUGAUAUCUGGUUAAACGGUCAGUUCAGAGAAAUACAUCUUUGCGCCCGGACAGUUACCUAUAGUUUAUGUUUAAAUUAAUGUCAGUAAAAGCAAUUAAAAUAUAAUGAUAUUUUUAGGUCUGUUGAUAUUCAUUCUAGACUUGUUGUUUCCUUAUUGUUAUUUGAAUUGAAUACAUGUAUUUUUUCAUUUUCUGUAGUCAAUUUUCAAAUUUUAUGGAGGGUAAACAUCGAGAAUGACACUUUCUACUGUUAUUUCAGUAAUAUGUUCAGUAGUGUCUUUAAUGAAGACAUGACAUUUGAUGGUCAGGGGUCUGCGAACUCACUUAGACCUGAUCAAAGAAAGUAAUCUACGGUAAAGAAGUACCUCAGGAAAGAGUCAGUAUCAGAAUGGUGUAGCAUUGUGUUAAAAUUCUGUUCCAUCCAGAUUAAGGCAGACCGUUAGAGCUUAAUCGAAAACUACAUAUUCCACGAAUAACUGAAAUUUAAGACUAAAAGCGAAGGAAUUAGCGCUGGGGUAAAAAAAAAUGCAAUUCUCAAAAGCGUAAGGACUACUACGGCCGGAAAAUGUAAACAGAGCUUGCUGACUUCGAGUGAGGCUUUGCGACAUUUUAGCCAAUCUUUGGAUUGGUCAGUAAUAUUUUUUUAUCCAUAUGUUCUUAAGGUAUUGUUCGAUCGAAGAUUUUGCCUUUAAAUUAUUCAACUUACAGAAUUUUUAACAAUGCUGGACGAUUUUAUGGCCAUGAAGUUAUGUAAACAAUGACGGCAAAUAUAUCGCUUGGGUCUCGUAGAUGCAAGAAAUGCGUUCGUUUUUGCUUCUGAUCGUUCUGUUUGUUAGCUUUUUUUUGAAUAAAGGGAUAUUUCUUGGCUA